CGCUUCGGGGAAGGGGGCUACAGCCUGACUUUAUACCCACCCUUUGCCUAUGUGUACCCCUAUUGCUUCCCUCGGCGGGUUCGCCCGCCGACAGGAACCAACUAAACCCUUUGCAUUAUACAUUUAACACUUCCGAUACAAAACUAAAUUAUUACAACUUUUAACAAUGGAUCUCUUGGUUCUGGCAUCGAUGAAGAACGCAGCGAAAUGCGAUAAGUAGUGUGAAUUGCAGAAUUCAGUGAAUCAUCGAAUCUUUGAACGCACAUUGCGCCCCUCGGUAUUCCGUGGGGCAUGCCUGUUCGAGCGUCAUUUACACCCUCAAGCUAUGCUUGGUGUUGGGCGUCUGUCCCGCCUCCGUGCGCGGACUCGCCUCAAAGUCAUUGGCAGCGGUCUCGUCGGCUUCUCGCGCAGCACAUUUGCGCUUCUCGGAGCCCCGGCGGAUCAGCGUCCAGCAAGCAAUUUCAUGAC
rnacentral:sRNA from 1 species